rnacentral:rRNA from 1 species
CCUACGGGAGGCAGCAGUGGGGAAUCUUGCGCAAUGGGCGAAAGCCUGACGCAGCCAUGCCGCGUGARUGAUGAAGGUCUUAGGAUUGUAAAAUUCUUUCACCGGGGACGAUAAUGACGGUACCCGGAGAAGAAGCCCCGGCUAACUUCGUGCCAGAACCGCGGUAAAAGAUCUGUGCCAGCAGCCGCGGUAAU